rnacentral:rRNA from 1 species
UGAACCUUUACUAUAGCUUGACACUGAACACUGGUCCUUGAUGUGCAGGAUAGGUGGGAGGCUUUGAAGUGUGGACGCCAGUCUGCAUGGAGCCGUCCUUGAAAUACCACCCUUUAAUGGCUGGUGUUCUAACGUAGACCCGUGAACCGGGUUGCGGACAGUGUCUGGUGGGUAGUUUGACUGGGGCGGUCUCCUCCUAAAGCGUAACGGAGGAGCACGAAGGUUGGCUAAUCCUGGUCGGACAUCAGGAGGUUAGUGCAAUGGCAUAAGCCAGCUUGACUGCGAGCGUGACGGCGCGAGCAGGUGCGAAAGCAGGUCAUAGUGAUCCGGUGGUUCUGAAUGGAAGGGCCAUCGCUCAACGGAUAAAAGGUACUCCGGGGAUAACAGGCUGAUACCGCCCAAGAGUUCAUAUCGACGGCGGUGUUUGGCACCUCGAUGUCGGCUCAUCACAUCCUGGGGCUGAAGUAGGUCCCAAGGGUAUGGCUGUUCGCCAUUUAAAGUGGUACGCGAGCUGGGUUUAGAACGUCGUGAGACAGUUCGGUCCCUAUCUGCCGUGGGCGCUGGAGAACUGAGGGGGGCUGCUCCUAGUACGAGAGGACCGGAGUGGACGCAUCACUGGUGUUCGGGUUGUCAUGCCAAUGGCACUGCCCGGUAGCUAAAUGCGGAAGAGAUAAGUGCUGAAAGCAUCUAAGCACGAAACUUGCCCCG